AAGUCGAACGGGAAACUUUUCAUUGAAGCUUCGGCAGAUUUGGUCUGUUUCUAGUGGCGGACGGGUGAGUAACGCGUGGGUAACCUGCCUUAUACAGGGGGAUAACAACCAGAAAUGGUUGCUAAUACCGCAUAAGCGCACAGGACCGCAUGGUCCGGUGUGAAAAACUCCGGUGGUAUAAGAUGGACCCGCGUUGGAUUAGCUAGUUGGCGGGGUAACGGCCUACAAAGGCGACGAUCCAUAGCCGGCCUGAGAGGGUGAACGGCCACAUUGGGACUGAGACACGGCCCAGACUCCUACGGGAGGCAGCAGUGGGGAAUAUUGCACAAUGGGGGAAACCCUGAUGCAGCGACGCCGCGUGAAGGAAGAAGUAUCUCGGUAUGUAAACUUCUAUCAGCAGGGAAGAUAGUGACGGUACCUGACUAAGAAGCCCCGGCUAACUACGUGCCAGCAGCCGCGGUAAUACGUAGGGGGCAAGCGUUAUCCGGAUUUACUGGGUGUAAAGGGAGCGUAGACGGACUGGAAAGUCUGAUGUGAAAGGCGGGGGCUCAACCCCUGGACUGCAUUGGAAACUGUUAGUCUUGAGUGCCGGAGAGGUAAGCGGAAUUCCUAGUGUAGCGGUGAAAUGCGUAGAUAUUAG
rnacentral:rRNA from 1 species